AUUGAAAGCUGGCGGCAGGCUUAACACAUGCAAGUCGAGCGGAGAUGAGGUGCUUGCACCUUAUCUUAGCGGCGGACGGGUGAGUAGUGCUUAGGAAUCUGCCUAUUAGUGGGGGACAACAUUCCGACAGGAAUGAUAAUACCGCAUACGUCCUACGGGAGAAAGCAGGGGAUCUUCGGCCGUUGCGCUAAUAGAUGAGCCUAGGCCGGAUUAGCUAGUUGGUGGGGUAAAGGCCUACCAAGGCGACGAUCUGAAGCGGGUCUGAGAGGAUGAUCCGCCACACUGGGACUGAGACACGGCCCAGACUCCUACGGGAGGCAGCAGUGGGGAAUAUUGGACAAUGGGGGGAACCCUGAUCCAGCCAUGCCGCGUGUGUGAAGAAGGCCUUAUGGUUGUAAAGCACUUUAAGCGAGGAGGAGGCUACUGAGACUAAUACUCUUGGAUAGUGGACGUUACUCGCAGAAUAAGCACCGGCUAACUCUGUGCCAGCCGCCGCCGUAAUAC
rnacentral:rRNA from 1 species